GAUGAAGAACGUAGCAAAAUGCGAUAAGUAGUGUGAAUUGCAGAAUUCAGUGAAUCAUCGAAUCUUUGAACGCACAUUGCGCCCGCCAGCAUUCUGGCGGGCAUGCCUGUUCGAGCGUCAUUUCAACCCUCGAGCCCCCCCGGGGGCCUCGGUGUUGGGGGACGGCACACCAGCCGCCCCCGAAAUGCAGUGGCGACCCCGCCGCAGCCUCCCCUGCGUAGUAGCACACACCUCGCACCGGAGCGCGGAGGCGGUCACGCCGUAAAACGCCCAACUUUCUUAGAGUUGACCUCGGAUCAGGUAGGAAUACCCGCUGAACUUAAGCAUAUCAAUAAGCGGAGGA
rnacentral:misc_RNA from 1 species